rnacentral:pre_miRNA from 1 species
GGGGGGACGCCGGAUCUUGGGCUGUGUCCCGGCGCCUGAGCUGUUGGAUUCACGCUCCCGGCCUCGCAGCCCCCU